AUGAAGAUUCUCCUGUGGUUUAUUGUGGUUUUGUCCUUAGUGCAAUGUGUGACAUGUCAGAUCUCCCUGACACAGCCCGGUGCUGUCAUUGUGAAGCCAUCAGAGGUUCUUCAGCUGCCCUGUAAAGUGAUCGGAGCCUCCCUCACUGACAGCUCCAAAGUAGCGUCUGUUAACUGGGUCCGUCAGCCUGCGGGGAAAGGGCUGGAAUGGCUGGGAAUAAUAUGGCACAAUGCUGAUACACGCUAUGCCCAGUCCUUGCAGGGACGUAUCACAGUAUCAAGAGACACAAAUAAGGGAGAAGUUUAUUUAAAACUCACUGGAAUGAAACCAGAGGAAACUGCUGUUUAUUACUGUGCUAGAGAAGCACAGUGGGACAUAUAUUAUGAAAGAACGUAUAAAAAUGAAUGA